GGGGGCGAUCAUGGUAUCGACUGGGCAAUGUUUCGAUAAGGGUGGCGUUCCGAGGGUCAGGAUGCCUCGUAAAAACCUGAAACAACUUUAAAUUUAAGUGCGGAUGCACCUGUAAGAAUGGCUGCCUAAUUGUAGCCACGUCUUUGCUUCUUUCUUGCGUGAGGUAAAAGACGCAGUUAGCAAGAUAGCAAAGCAUCAUGCUUUGGGGAUGCUUUAGCGAAACUUUUCUGAGGCUAGCGAUUUGGAAAUUUGUUUGUAAAUGGCCAGGUCGCGAAAAACAAUGUACAAACUAUGAACGUAGAGGCUUUUAUCAGGCUGUUACAGGACGCGGGUUCGAUUCCCGCCGCCUCCAUAA
rnacentral:tmRNA from 1 species